CACACACACACACACACACACACACACACACACACACACACACACUGAGGCUUCUUGCUGCGCGCUCCCGCUCGUGCACGCGCCAGGCCCUGGCACGGUCCCGGAGUCACCAGCCUGAUUAUAAAUAAGAAACGCGCGCGCACGCAUGUAGGCUACCGGGGCACGGCAGCGCGCGCGCGCACGCGGCCUCGCCUCUACUGUAUGAGCAGCUUCCGGCUCAGAAAGCAACUAGAUGCGGCUGCAGCCAAUGGGAAGAGGCCUGCAUCACAGGGUUAACUGUCAGGCUUCACGCUUCUCCUCAUUAUUCCGUUUCUUUGACAUUUUUAGGAACAUUUGAGACGAUUUUCAUCUCAAUCUAUCGACUGAAUAUUGAAAAUAGAUCUGGUUUUGUUUUAAUCCAAAUAUAACACCCCGGUGUGUUUUAAAUGCUUCCCUGCUCUUCAAUAAAUUCAAGUUUUUUUCAUCUAAAGAAUUAAUUUUAGAGUAAAAAUAGAUUUUUUCCACAAUGUUCUGUUGUUUUAUCUGAUCAACCUAAACCAAUAUUUUAAAAUGUUCUCAUCCUGAACAAAUAUACACCUUAGAAUCAAUUUUAAUGGGAGAUUUGUUCAUUUUAAUAAUUUUUCUUACCAUGUUUAUUUGUUUAAUAAUUUGUUGUUUAAUUGAAUAUGUAUCCAGAUUAACCUAUAAAUCUAUUUUCUCAGCGAUUUGUUGUUGUUUUCUUAAUAAAUCAAGAUUAAAGGCCUGGAAGCUUUUUAGAAACGCCUCUUUUUAAACUAAUGUAAGAAUUUCAAUCCUUUUAAACUGAAACUGGUUGAUUUUGAAUCUAUUUUUCCGCCGUUUUAUUCGUUUUAUCAAACAGAAAACGGAUGUAAGAUCUCCAGGGCCUUUUGUUUGCUUGUUUAUUAAAUAAAUAUCAGUUUUAGAAUAAAAAGCGGCGUUAAUUAUUGAACUGUGCUGAUAGCAGUGAUCUUCAGUGACACGGAGCUCCGCGUCCCUUUGUGCUGCAGCAGGAGCCGCUGCGCCACAAAGGACAGAGCAGUGCAGCUGCACGGAGACAAAUAAAGCCAGAAACGCGGCGGGGUGGGAUGCAGGCUGAACUGCAGCACAAUGUGAUCGCAGCAACACGUUGGGUCUGCUGGUUAUUUUUUUUUAUGCCAGAAAAGAAGAAAAAGGCGCGAGCGGACUGAGUAACCCGGCGCGCGCGCAGAGGCCUGCUUAUUGACAGCUCGGUUGAUUGAAAGGAGCACCAAGCAAAUCCGAUCCUCCUCUGUGAGAAACGCGCCGGAGGAGCAGAGAGGAAGAGGAUGCUGCAGGCUCGGCGCCUCGACUCUCUGAAGGAGAAUGUAAACUGAUCACACCCAAAUCUAGCUUUGGUGGCGGAGGGUGGGGAGAAAUUCAAUUAAGGUAAUAAAUUAAAGAUAAUUGGCGCAAACCGCCUUGUAUAAACUUACGGAUGCGGCUCUGCAGCCAAACGCGUCUUUUUAAAGAGAUGAAUAAUUCAGCGCUGCGCUGCGCGGCGCGGCUCCUCAUUUAGGAGGAAUUAGAACAUGCCGGCAUCUGAAUGGAAUUAGAAAAAUAACACAUCCAGAUCGUAAUGAUUUAUUAAUCUGCUUUUGAUGCAAACGCAGCGCGAAUGCUGGGAAUCAGAUUUCAGUGUAAAGGUGAAGCAGCACAGAUGGGAACAACGAUCAGAUUAUGGCGGAAUUUAUUCACAUUAAAGAUGCAAUAAAAGAUUCAUUAGGAGGGAGGAAAAAUAAUAGGAAUCAAUUUGGAAGAUAAACAGGAAGUGGCUCGAUUUUAAUUCACAUUUCUAUGAUGUUAGAGAAGAAACGUUAUUUAUUACGGCUGAAAUGUGGCGUUCAGAGUCCCAGUCACCUGAGCAGCCAUGUUGUCUCUCACCUUUACACGCUGCGGCGUUUCACCGCAUCAACGCGUUAAAAGCUGAUAAAACUGAUCAGCCACUUUCCUCCAAACGGGGAGUAAAUUUUCUCUUUCCAGCAGGAUUCCUCUCUGGAACCGUGCAGCGAGUUGACCUUAAUUUGAGACAAAAAAAGAAAAGAAAACAACAGCAGCCAAUGCGCGGGUUUAAUCUAUUUACUCAUUUAUUCUCUCAGUGUGUUUUAUUACAUUCCGUGCACCCUCCAAAGCCGGUGCAUGCGCGUGCGUGUGCGUGCGCGCGUGCGUGCGCGCCGCUUCUUUCUGCCUGCGAUUUUUAUUUUAAAAUAUUAGGCCGAGGUGGGGAGAAUUAUAAACGACUCGGCUCUUAUCUGCUGCCUUCACGUAUCCAGGAUCACAGAAGCUGAUUAAGAAAGAAGUCACAGCCAACGCUGGAUUCAUAAUGAUUUGGAAUAAUGAAUCCUUAUCUCCCCUCUGCAGAUUAUCAGCCUUUCAGCUCGCCAUGUUUUGUUACAUGGGAUAAUUUAUUGCAUCUAAUACAUCACAAUGAAUCUGAUGGGGGAAAGUGAUGGCCGUGUUAGCAGAGAGGCUGCUUCUUUCCCUUUUUCUUUUUUUAUUUUAUUUUAUCCCGAGGCAAUGAAAUGCCUUUACGAUUUUUAAUUGGUAAAAUAUAAGCAGGAUCUGAUAAAAUAAAAAAUAAAACAGCAGAAAAUAGAAGCAGAGAGGUGUAAUCUUGGCCGCUAGUGUUCCAGCAGCACUGCGCUAUAAUUAGUGUGUCAGUUUCAACCUGAAAUUAACAGCAUCGACCUGCCAUCUCUGGCUCUGCGCGCGCACACCCUCAUUUCGCAUGAUUUAUUUUUCCACCAAGAACAGAUAAUUAAUCAUAAACACAUGGAGAGGAAAAUACUACAGCUGCAGCGAGCUGCAGAUAACAGAACAUUUGCAUCUAAAAAGAUUUGAUGAAACCAGGUUUUUCUUCUUCUUCUCAUCCCACCUGAAGGCUGCGGGUUCGGCUCCACACCGCAAACCUUCCGCUCACUUUGCGUGAUUAAUCUGCGGCUGGUGACGUAUCAUUAAUCACUGCUGCAGGGGCGGCGCAGCUUUAAAUGGGGCCCAGAGUAGAGUCUGAACGGGGACCACAAAACAAUCUAUCUAUCUAUCUAUCUAUCUAUCUAUCUAUCUAUCUAUCUAUCUAUCUAUCUAUCUAUCUAUCUAUCUAUCUAUCUAUCUGUCUUUUUUACUAGUUAUGUUUACAUGCAGAUGUUUAAAAUUUUCGUACUGGUUGAAAUUUUGAUUUUAAAUCCUUUCAAAAUAAAACCUAAAUAAAUAAAAGACGAAUUUUCAACAACAUGGAUUCAGUGGAGACAUUUAGGGUUCCUGAGGCCCCCUGCUGGCCUGGAGGGUUUACGCAGCUCAAAGGUCACAUGACUCAGUUUCAUUAUUUAUGUCUGUUUACACAAAUAUUACCAAUAAUAGUGAUAAUAAUAGUGAUAAUAAUAAUAAUAAUAAUAAUAAUAAUAAUAAUAAUAAUCACAUUAUUCUAUUGUGACCCAAAUGAUGUAACCACACCAUAAAGUGAACUAACUACAUACUAAAUAACUAAUUAUGCAAACAAAUAAAUCUACUGACAUGUGUUUUUAUUUCUGAUUUUCCUUCCUGGUGUUUGUUUGCUCUCCUCCUCUCGUUGCUUAAUCACAACAACAGUAAUAAAAAAUGAACUAAAUCAUAACUUUUAGUUUGUUAAAUUUUCUGUCUGUAUUAUUCUAUUCAAAAUGAUCCGAUCUUUCAAUCACGAUGAAGUUAAAUAAAAAUGUAAAGUUCUUGAGAUCAAAGGAAAAUGAACAUUUUCUUAUUUAUGAUCAACAAAAUUUGAGGUUUUGAGAUUCUGUAUUAUUUCUUCAGCGCCCCCUGCAGGCCUGUUCGGCCUCACAGCAGCAGCUUCAUUCGCUUAUUCCUUGGGCCGGCUGUGAUCCUCCUCAUCAUGAAUGUGCUGCAGUCUGUAUGGUGUGCAUGAAUAAUAAUAAUAAUAAUAAUAAUAAUAAUAAUAAUAAUAAUAAUAAUGAUUUUCUGGAUAAUGAGUUCUUGUUGGAUUGUUGGAGCAGAGCCCGGUCCACUCAGGUUCUGGACGGCGCCAUGUUUGAACUCCAUCACGGUGCCAGGAGAAAUUAGCAUUUUAUUUGCUCUCUCUCUCUCUCUCUCUCUCUCUCUCUCUCUCUCUCUCUCUCUCUCUCUCUCUCAGCAGCACCACCAGAUAUUUAUCUCUUCAUACUCGGGGAAGCUGCCAUGACAAACAAACCCAGGAUGGACCCUCAGCCGGGUAUCCAGGAACCCCCUUCCUCUUCCUCUUCCUCUUCCUCUUCCUCUUCCUGCCUGAGCAGAAUAAUCCAGGACCGGUUGGAGUCCAGAGAGUUUCAUGGACGGAGGGAAACAAAGGCUCUCUAAGGCGGACUGUGGCCCUGGGCAGAAUCUCAUCUGGGGCCCCACCUCCAGCUCUGUCCGUGUGAUUACACUGUAAAAACAUUUGUUGUUUUUACACCUCAUUUUACAGUAACUAACGUUGUUUCCUCAGCCUUUCUGUUCUCUGGAUAAUCUGUUAACUCUUCAAACUGUUUCAUUAAAAUAAAAAAACUCACCUUGAUUCUUUUAUUCUAACAGAAACCUGAUGAAAUCGCAGAAGUUUUUUUAUCCAUUAAGCUUUCAGAUGAGUUGGAAGACGGACUGCUACUGGAGAUCCUGACUCUGAAGAAACGUGGAUGAUAAAAACUACGACAACAUUUACAUUUACUGAAGUAUUUUUAAAUUGAUUUGUGGAAUCCUCUUUAGAAAUCUAACAAAAAUGUUAUAAGUUGUGAUUAUUUAAUUUGCCAUAACUAUAAAUAAUUAGGAAAAACAUUUAUUUACUAUAAAUGUGUGAAGAUGCAAAGACAGUUUUGAUUUUUUUGAUGUGAUUGAACUUUUAUCAAUCAGCAGAUUUUAUUUACUGUUAAAUUGCAUAAAUGUGAAAAGACAUUAAAUAUUGUUUAAUUUUAACAACGCAGAGUCAGCUAUUUAUUAAUAUUAUCAUUUGUUAAAGAUUUAAUAAUAAUUGCUGUCCCAGUAUCCUGAUAUGACCAAAAUGAAACUCUUUCAGUUUCUGGUGAAUAAAUUCAUCAACAUGUUUUACAGAUUAUGAAUCAGUUUUAAUAAAUCUUUUCUGAUGGAUUCACUUCCUGUAUAAAUGUUUUCAGUGGAUUAUCAGCCCCCCCCCCUGGACACGCCCCUGCUGAUUUGUUUCAGCUUUUCCUCCCGCAUUGCGCCGGGUAGAGGAGGGCUGUCGGGUUCAGAGCCCCGCUCCCUGUUUUACUGUCAAUGAGGCAAAGAUCAGGUUGCAGCGGGCCGGACCGGAACCCGAACCGGAUCAGGAGGAAACCUCCACAAACUCCCGGUUACUUCCGGUGUUUCCUGACGGGAUGGAGAGCAGAAACUGAUUCUGACGGACUUCCGGUGAAGUGAAAACUGGACAGUUUCCUCUGAACGCGGAACAAAUGCGGGUCUUUAACUUUAUCAUGACUAACUGAGCCACAGCCUGAAUCUUAUUGAUCUUCAUCAGGCUGAUCAAUUGAACCCAUCGCCUCCUGAUUGGAGGGGAAAGCAGCGCAGAACCCGCUGCGGAACUUUUCAAACUGGGCGCUAAAGAAACGCUUUAACUCCCGCCUGACGCUGCGGGAUGAACCGCAGCUUCGCCGCAGGCUGCCGGUGUGCGGGAGCGGCUGAGUGACGCUCUGUCUGCGGGAUCAUGUUUAAUCCCCGCCUGUUCACAACUCAUUUCUGCACUCAGAGGCGCAGAGAUGGGGACUCAGAUGGUUGCUGGGGCAACCGCGUUAGGACUGACGGAGCCGUUUCCCUGAACGGAGGCAAUCUGCAGCAGAGGUCGUCACAAAGUCAUUCCUGAUUACUUUCCUCUUUCCUGGAGCUUCUCGGCUGCAGCUCAACAUCCAACAGUUCAUUCAGUUCACUCGUUCAGUUCACUCGUUCAGUUCACUCGUUCAGUUGACAGGUGCAAAUCCUGCAUGUGACGUCACGGGGAUCCGUUCCUCGCAGAUCAGAGUUUCAGAUUCCCUGAACGUGAAAGAGCCUUCCCCUCCAUCCUGCGUGUCUCCAGGGAAACCAACACGCAGCAUCAUCAGCAUCCAGCCUCAUAAUCCUGAGAUGAAGGUGAGGUGUCCCGUCUGAUCAAAGCGGCCGCGCGGCGCUGCAGGCCGGCCUCCGUCACUCAAACGCUUCCUGCUCCACCUGCAUGCUGCAGGCCGCCAGGCUGCGCUAGCUUAAUGAAGCAGCCGUUAGCCGUUAGCUUCAUGUGAUCAUCCAGAUGGAAAUGAAGACUGCAGCUUGCAGAGAGCCACAGGCGCCUGCUGUGUGUGUGUGUGUGUGUGUGUGAUAAAGGUGAAGGACAACAAUCUGGAUGAGGAGGACUGGCGAUAAUAAGGCUAAUAAAGUAUCUCUGUGCUGCACAUUGUUCUGCUGCUGCAGCAGCCAGCAGCGCUCUUCCUCAUGAACUCUGAAUAUGCAAACGCGUUUUAUGGAGAAUAAUGUAAUUACAGGAGAAGCUUCAGGUUGUUUUGAUGUCACUGUCCUCCUUUCACAGCCAGCAGGUCUGAAGAGCUGAAGCUGUAAAAGGCCUCAAUAAAACCCAGCACAGAACCGCAGGCUGAACUGGAACAACAGCAGAAUCUGGUCAGAACUUCACAGGAGAACCGCCGGUCUGAUUCAUUCAUUCAUUCAUUCAUUCAUUCAUUCAUUCAUUCUGUUCAACAUCAGAACCGGCUUAAAGGGCCAGUACCAUGUCAUUUUAUAACAUAAUAAAGCAACUAUGUUAUAUCCA